rnacentral:rRNA from 1 species
UGGGGAAUUUUGGACAAUGGGGGAAACCCUGAUCCAGCCAUCCCGCGUGUGCGAUGAAGGCCUUCGGGUUGUAAGCACUUUUGGCAGGAAAGAAACGUCGCGGGUUAAUACCCCGCGAACAUGACGGUACCUGCAGAAUAAGCACCGGCUAACUACGUGCCAGCAGCCGCGGUAAUACGUAGGGUGCAAGCGUUAAUCGGAAUUACUGGGCGUAAAGCGUGCGCAGGCGGUUCGGAAAGAAAGAUGUGAAAUCCCAGAGCUUAACUUUGGAACUGCAUUUUUAAACUACCGGGCUAGAGUGUGUCAGAGGGAGGUGGAAUUCCGCGUGUAGCAGUGAAAUGCGUAGAUAUGCGGAGGAACACCGAUGGCGAAAGGCAGCCUCCUGGGGAUAACACUGACGCUCAUGCACGAAAAGCGU